rnacentral:rRNA from 1 species
AGCCAACAUCUAGCCCAACCACACUAAAUAAAGAACUAUUAAGAACCCACUUCACUGCUAAACUAAAACAUUUUCUAAACUUAGUAUAGGUGAUAGAAAAGUAUACUUGGCGCAAUAGAAGUUUGUACCGUAAGGGAAAGAUGAAAUAAUAAUGAAACCCCAAGCGAUAAAUAGCAAAGAUAAACCCUUGUACCUCUUGCAUCAUGAUUUAGCGAGAACAACCAAGCAAAACGAAUUUAAGCUUGCCACCCCGAAACCCAAGCGAGCUACUUGCAAGCAGCUACCAAUGAGCGAACCCGUCUCUGUUGCAAAAGAGUGGGAUGACUUGCUAGUAGAGGUGAAAAGCCAAUCGAGCUGGGUGAUAGCUGGUUGCCUGUGAAACGAAUCUAAGUUCGCCCUUAAUUUUCCUCCAUGGCAUUUAACCAACCACUUUGUAGCAAAUUAAGAGUAAUUUAAAGGAGGUACAGCUCCUUUAAGAAAGAAUACAACCUUCCCUAGCGGAUAACUGCUCAAUUAUACCCCCCCCCCAAACUGUGGGCCCUUAAGCAGCCACCAACAAAGAGUGCGUCAAAGCUCUACACCUAAAAAUCUUAGAACAGUAUGACUCCCUUAUCACCAACAGGCCAACCUAUGAUAAUAGGAGGAUCAAUGCUAAAAUGAGUAACUAGGGAACCUCCCUCUCAAGCGCAGGCUUACAUCCACACAUUAUUAACAGACUACAGCUAAUACUACAACCAUCAAACAAGAUUAAAUAUUACUCACCCUGUUAACCCAACUCAGGAGCGCCCACUAGAAAGAUUAGAAUCUGUAAAAGGAACUAGGCAAGCCUAAGGCCCGACUGUUUACCAAAAACAUAGCCUUCAGCCGGCCAAGUAUUGAAGGUGAUGCCUGCCCAGUGACACAACGUUUAACGGCCGCGGUAUCCUAACCGUGCGAAGGUAGCGCAAUCAAUUGUCCCAUAAAUCGAGACUUGUAUGAAUGGCUAAACGAGGUCUUAACUGUCUCUUACAGAUAAUCAGUGAAAUUGAUCUUCUUGUGCAAAAGCGAGAAUACCCACAUAAGACGAGAAGACCCUGUGGAACUUAAAAAUCAGCGACCACUACCUAUGAAUGACAGACCUACUAGGCUUCACCACCCUUAAAACGCUGGCCCGCAUUUUUCGGUUGGGGCGACCUUGGAGAAAGACAGAUCCUCCAAAAAUAAGACCAUACUUUCUUAACUGAGAGAGGCCACUCAACGUACUAAUAGUGACCAGACCCAAUACAAUUGACCAAUGGACCAAGCUACCCCAGGGAUAACAGCGCAAUCUCCUCCAAGAGCCCAUAUCGACGAGGAGGUUUACGACCUCGAUGUUGGAUCAGGACAUCCUAGUGGUGCAGCCGCUACUAAGGGUUCGUUUGUUCAACGAUUAACAGUCCUACGUGAUCUGAGUUCAGACCGGAGCAAUCCAGGUCGGUUUCUAUCUAUGACGAACUUUCCCCAGUACGAAAGGACCGGAAAAGUAGGGCCAAUACCUCAAGCACGCCCUCCCUCCUAAACAAUGAACCCAACUAAAUUAUCAAAGGAGCACCCAAACACCACUAAUCCUAGAAAAGGACU